CGAUGCCAGACCAGAUCUCCGUGUCGGAAUUCGUGGCCGAGACCCUUGAGGACUACAAGGCGCCCACGGCCUCUAGCUUCACCAUGCGCACGGCCCAGUGCCGGGACACCGUGGCGGCCAUCGAGGAGGAUGCAGUGACUUAUGAUGAUGUACAUGUGAACUUCACUGGGGAAGAGUGGAAGUUGCUGGAUCCUUCCCAGAAGAGUCUCUACAAAGAUGUGAUGCUGGAGACCUACUGGAACCUCACUGUUAUAGGCUACACUUGGGAAACCCAUCAUAUUGAAGGACAUUGUCAAAGUUCGAGAAGAAAUGAAAGGUAAUUUUCA
rnacentral:lncRNA from 1 species